AGUGAACGCUGGCGGUAGGCCUAACACAUGCAAGUCGAACGGCAGCACAGUAAGAGCUUGCUCUUACGGGUGGCGAGUGGCGGACGGGUGAGGAAUACAUCGGAAUCUACUUUUUCGUGGGGGAUAACGUAGGGAAACUUACGCUAAUACCGCAUACGACCUACGGGUGAAAGCAGGGGAUCUUCGGACCUUGCGCGAUUGAAUGAGCCGAUGUCGGAUUAGCUAGUUGGCGGGGUAAAGGCCCACCAAGGCGACGAUCCGUAGCUGGUCUGAGAGGAUGAUCAGCCACACUGGAACUGAGACACGGUCCAGACUCCUACGGGAGGCAGCAGUGGGGAAUAUUGGACAAGGGGCGCAAGCCUGAUCCAGCAAUACCGCGUGGGUGAAGAAGGCCUUCGGGUUGUAAAGCCCUUUUGUUGGGAAAGAAAAGCAGCAGGUUAAUACCCCGCUGUUCUGACGGUACCCAAAGAAUAAGCACCGGCUAACUUCGUG
rnacentral:rRNA from 1 species